GUGCAACCGAAGUCUUUCAAGAUAUGUUUUCCCUCUGCAGGGAUUGAACAAAAUGUGCCAGAAGGGGCGUGGGCCGGAAUCAAACCCAUGCUGACACGGAAUUUCAGGAUGCACAGGAAACAUUUUCCAUGACAAAAGAGUUAACUACGGCACUGACGUAUAGUUGAUCAAGGAGGGAGGAGCCAGAGAGCUUUGACGGCAUUGUGACCAAUCUGAGAGAUGUCGUCAUAGCAGCAACAGGAGCUGACUGUGCGCCCCUCCUCUUCACUGACCCCCAGGCCAAGGUCAUUGGAACUGUUCACAAACGGUGGAAAGAAACCCAUAUGGAUGUUGCCAUAGCUACAGUCAACGCCAUGGUGACCGGGUUCGGCAGCAGCAUGUGGGAUGUCACUGUAGUGAUCAGGCCAUCGGUGGGGGCCUGUUGUUUUACGCUGUAGAGAGAGCAGGCUGUUCUAAUCUAUCUACCUUGACUGUGUUCUUGGCAUGGCUGAGGCCAGGCCUCAUAUCAACAUACAACUAACCACCAGAAUACUUCUCCAGAGGGGUGGGGUCUUGCCUGAGCGUAUCCAUGACGACACGCUGAAUGACAGGCCGAGCGUGACCCUAUGCACAUCCUCUCACCUGAGGCCUUCUUCUCCCGCGUCAGGGACGGGCUUAACUUUGGAACACAGUCCCGACAAAAUAAUGGUGUCCAGACCUGUUGCCCUCAAUCAUCAUGAAAACCUUUGGGCUCCUGGUACUGUCCCAUCUGAAAACCUUCACUGAUGCCUCCCUCCACCCACGGCAGUUUGCCUACAGAGCUAACAGGUCUGUGGACGACUCUGUCAACAUGGGCCUACACUACAACACCUAUGCAAGGAUAUUAUUUGUGGACAUUAGCUCUCCGUUCAAUACCAUCAUCCCAGAAUUUCUAAAAAACAAACUCUCCCAGCUUAAUGUGUCCAGCUCCAUGUGUCCAGCUCCAUCUGUCAGCAGAUCACUGAAUUCCUGACCAACAGGAGGCAACAAGUGAAGCUGGGAAACACCUUUCGGACUAUUUAUCCCUCAGCACCGGAGAGCUGCAAGGAUGCUGCUCUCACCUCACCUCUACUCACUCUACACCAAUGACUGCACCUCCAACAACGCAUCUGUCCAACUACUCAGGUUUUCAGAUGACACCAAUCUGGUCGGUCUCAUCACCAACAGCAAUGAGUCUAUGCACCGUAGAGUGGCCUAGUGUAGUCGCAAUAACCUGGAAUUCAACACAGAAAAAAAACGUGGAAAUGGUGAUUGACUUCAGAAAGCGCCCCCCAACAUCUCUCCCCCUCGAGAGUGAUGGCUCAGCUGUUAGCACGGCUGAAUCAGUCAAAUUCCUGUGGAUCAUAAUCUCCCACAACCUCAAGUGGGAGGACAACAUCACCAAUAAGGCACACCAGGGGAUGUACUACUUGCAGCAUCUGAAAAAGCUCAAUAUUUCCAUGUCAACCCUGAUCCGAUUUUACCAUCUUCACCUCCUCCAUCACCAAACUGCAACACAUUGUCUACAGAGCAGGUCAUCUGCUGCCACCUGCCCUCCAUCAAGGUCCUGCACUGACUUCAGGGCAAGGAAGCCUGCAGGAAAGAUCAUUGCCAACCCCAACCCGAUCACCCCCUCCUCAGGUAGGCACCUCCCGCCACCUGGACAGUUUCUUCCCUUGGGCUGUGACCCUCACCAACCGGCCAUCUGGCCCAGAGAGACUAAAGGACUAUGCUGUGAGGUGUGGAAACUGUUACUUUUAUUUAUU